GGUAGUGUGGUAGAGUGGUUAAAGGCACUGGAUUUAGACUCCAGUCUCUGCGGAGCUGUGGGUUUGAGUCUCACCACUACCA
rnacentral:tRNA from 1 species